rnacentral:rRNA from 1 species
UUUAAAGAAAGCGUAAUAGCUCACUGGUCUAAAUAAGGGUCUUUGCGCCGAAGAUGUAACGGGGCUUAAGAUAUGUACCGAAGCUGUGGAUGUACACUUUUGUGUACGUGGUAGCGGAGCGUUCCGUAAGCUGAUGAAGCCAUCUGGUAAUGGGUGGUGGAGGUAUCGGAAGUGAGAAUGCUGACAUGAGUAACGACAAAGAGGGUGAGAGACCCUCUCGCCGAAAAUCCAAGGGUUCCUGCGUAAAGCUAAUCUGC